rnacentral:lncRNA from 1 species
ACUCGGUCGGUCGGUUGGCCCACCUAACAGAUGAUGAGAUUCUCGAUCGAUUUGAUCGAAUUUCAAAAAGUCUUUCUCACUAUUCAGAACAGUGGAGCUUUCGAUCAAGAUCUUCUCGCCUCACCCGUUUGGGCUCUCGCUCGAAUCGGAACCUUUAUGCGUUGGUAGGCUUUCGACUCAAUCUAAUAGCCUACCUAUCGGGCGCCAAUAAAAGAGAAAGUUUUCGCAUGGGCUCAUCAUCUGAUGCAGAACCGAUGCGAGAGGGAGAAGCGGGGAUUGAUAGCUUUCAAGAACCAGUGGAAAGGAAAGACUUCUUCCCUGCAUUCCUUCCUUUCCAAAAAAAGGAAAUUUGUUUGGGCUGGCAUAGGCAUAAAAGAUUUGAUUGAAUGAAUGCCACCUUGGUAGUUUUCAAACAAAUCCAAUGUUGGGCCAAGCCUUGCCAGCCGGUAAUAGCCGAAGGCAAAAAAGGGGGAGAUAGGGAAGAGGAGAUUAAGGAUAGUCACUCCACUCCAUAGAUAGUGCACACAGAUUCUUCUUUCAUUUUCCAUUCCUUUCGGGUCGGAAACGCGGGCUGCUAGUGGGGCUGUGCCCAUUCUCCCUCUUCUUCCGCUUUACAACCGGAAUAAGGAACCUUAGAAUUCACCCUACCUGUCGAUGAAAAAAUGGGAUUUGAGAGGAGCUGAAAGCCACUUGACUCUAAGGAGAGGACCACCAGCUAGCGGAUCAGAAAGAUUUGUAUGGAAUGUCCUACUCCUGCCUGAGCUUUCCGAUCAACCAAUCCCCUAUUUCAGGGACAUCUGUGUUAGGUAGGCCCAGGGAUCACUGAUUAGUCGAAUGAGCCCAUCUCUCUGGCCUAUCAUUUGUUGGUCGAUCCGGCUGGCGGCUCCUGCAUCUCCUGCCUCUCUAUGGGGGCCCCUUUUUUUAGACUAGUUUGCUGCUAGGAGUCCCUAGAGUCGAAUUAAUAAUCAAUAGAAGUCCCAAUAGAAGUUUACUGACCUGGCUCUUCAAUCGACGAUCUACUGCUCCCUCUUAAUAGCAGAUGCCCAUGCUUUGAUUCGAAAGCCCUAGCCAGUGAUGAAUCCCCAGGUAUUCAGUGUCUGGUUCGAUAGGACCAGGAAGAGAGGACUCUUUUUUUCCUCCUCCCUUCAGUCCAGUUUGAACCCGUCCCAACAACGAACACCUUCCUACUGCAAGGUGAGGCUCUGCCCUUCCCCUAGAAUCCA